GUCUAUGGCCAUACCACCCUGAAUGUGCCUGAUUUUGUCUGAUUGAAGCUAAGCAGGGUUGGGCUUGGUUAGUACUUGGAUGGGAGACAGCUUGGGAAUACCAGGUGCUGUAGGCU
ensembl:rRNA 5S_rRNA 5S ribosomal RNA